GGAAUUUUGGACAAUGGGCGCAAGCCUGAUCCAGCAAUGCCGCGUGAGUGAAGAAGGCCUUCGGGUUGUAAAGCUCUUUUGUCAGGGAAGAAACGGUGUUUUCUAAUACAGAGCGCUAAUGACGGUACCUGAAGAAUAAGCACCGGCUAACUACGUGCCAGCAGCCGCGGUAAUACGUAGGGUGCAAGCGUUAAUCGGAAUUACUGGGCGUAAAGCGUGCGCAGGCGGUUUUGUAAGACUGUCGUGAAAUCCCCGGGCUCAACCUGGGAAUGGCGAUGGUGACUGCAAGGCUAGAGUUUGGCAGAGGGGGGUAGAAUUCCACGUGUAGCAGUGAAAUGCGUAGAUAUGUGGAGGAACACCGAUGGCGAAGGCAGCCCCCUGGGUCAAAACUGACGCUCAUGCACGAAAGCGUGGGGAGCAAACAGGAUUAGAUACCCGAG
rnacentral:rRNA from 1 species